GGGGGAGGUGGGGGGCUCCCUAGCCGUGGCCUCAGGGGACGUCGGGGAGCCUCACUCUGAACGACUCGUCAACUCCGGGCACUUGGGUCUGGUGCCUUGUUCCACGAAGGAGUGGGUCCCCAAAGUGCCACCGAAUGGUGUGUGUGGGGGACCCUAAAGGGCACAGUUCGAGGCAAGGGUUGGGGGUGGGGGCCGAUGGGCAGCGUCCUUGAAAGAUGAGGAGUGGGGGGGGUUACCCAAGGGCCUGGGUGGCUGAGACCCCUACGUCCCCUCCCUCAGCCCUGCAACAGGCACUGCUCUGGUGCCCCCUGGAGGUCUGGGGAGACCGUGCCAGGUGGUUACCAUGGAAACGCAUCAGCCAGGGGUGCCAAAGACCAAGAGCCUGGACCUUGGGGGCGCUGUGAGGUGUCUGCACCCUGUUGAUGGAGCAACGACGUCCUCCAGGAUGCAGGUGACGUGCGGAAGGACCAGCUUCCCAGCCCCGCCCAAGGCCAAGGCCAAGGCCAGGCGGGUGUCCCAAGCAACCCACUGGUGCUCCUCUCAUCGUCCUGCCCUGCAGGCCCGGCCCCCCAGGUCCCCCAGGGCGGUGCUGGAAUGCAUUUCCACUCUUCGGAUGGGUGGAAGGAGCUUUGCUCUCAGCUGACUCUCUAGGUCCCUAAUCUGGUUAAAUCCCAAAUGCUGGUGUGCACACGAGGUGUGGCCUCCCUGAGAACACACUAUUCUUAUUAAAAUGGAUAUUCUGAUGACCCGGCAGCAAUGGACAUUCUCUUACUGCUUUACACCUGCUCCAUGUCAUCCCCCUCGUGGCUCUCGGAGGUGGGGAGGCUUCUCGUACCCAUUUUACAGAUGGAGACAUGGGGGCUUAGCAAGAUGAGCUCUCACAGGCAGGUGGAGCGAGGGCCGAGGUGGGGGGGGGUGCUGAGUGCCAGCAUGCUAAUUCUAGGGCCUGCUCUCUUCACGCUCUUCACGGCACGACGAAGGCCUCGCCCCUGAGUGUUUCCACCAGACCUUGCUCAGGGAUCAGGAGCAGCGGGUGGGGAGGCAGGAAGGUUGAGCCCCUCCAGCUGUGGCUGGCUCUGUGGUCUUGACUCAAUCACACGGAGAGAGGCUCUUGGGCUCUCGAUUCCCUUACCUGUGGCCCAGCCCAGAGGCUUGGACUGGAUUAACCCUCGGCUGCACCCCGUUUCCAGGUCACUGAGUUCCCCUAAAAUGGCCUGGGGCACUUGGCAAGCACUCCCAGGACCGAGCAAACAUUCGGGCGCCCCCGGUCGCCGUGUCCUUGCAGAGAGGACCCAGACGUGGCGUUUCUCCAUUGACGCUGCAGUGUCAGAGCCUGGGAACCAGCCGAGGCGGGGCCUGGGGCGGGG
rnacentral:lncRNA from 1 species